CCUACGGGAGGCUGCAGUGAGGAAUAUUGGUCAAUGGUCGGGAGACUGAACCAGCCAAGCCGCGUGAGGGAGGACGGUCCAGAGUAUCGUAAACCUCUUUUAUCAGGGAACAAAGGCGGGGACGUAUCCCCGGAUGAGUGUACCUGAAGAAAAAGCAUCGGCUAACUCCGUGCCAGCAGCCGCGGUAAUACGGAGGAUGCGAGCGUUAUCCGGAUUUAUUGGGCGUAAAGGGAACGCAGGCGGUCUUUUAAGUCUGAUGUGAAAGCCUUCGGCUGAACCGGAGUAGUGCAUUGGAUACUGGGAGACUUGAGUGCAGAAGAGGAGAGUGGAACUCAAGGUGUAGCGGUGAAAUGCGUAGAUAUAUGGAAGAACACCAGUGGCGAAAGCGGCUCUCUGGUCUGUAACUGACGCUGAGGUUCGAAAGUGUGGGUAGCAAACAGGAUUAGAUACCCGAGUAGUC
rnacentral:rRNA from 1 species